rnacentral:rRNA from 1 species
AUUGAACGCUGGCGGCAUGCCUUACACAUGCAAGUCGAACGGCAGCACGGGUGCUUGCACCUGGUGGCGGGUGGCGAACGGGUGAGUAAUACAUCGGAACAUGUCCUGUAGUGGGGGAUAGCCCGGCGAAAGCCGGAUUAAUACCGCAUACGAUCCACGGAUGAAAGCGGGGGACCUUCGGGCCUCGCGCUAUAGGGUUGGCCGAUGGCUGAUUAGCUAGUUGGUGGGGUAAAGGCCUACCAAGGCGACGAUCAGUAGCUGGUCUGAGAGGACGACCAGCCACACUGGGACUGAGACACGGCCCAGACUCCUACGGGAGGCAGCAGUGGGGAAUUUUGGACAAUGGGCGAAAGCCUGAUCCAGCAAUGCCGCGUGUGUGAAGAAGGCCUUCGGGUUGUAAAGCACUUUUGUCCGGAAAGAAAUCCUUGGCUCUAAUACAGUCGGGGGAUGACGGUACCGGAAGAAUAAGCACCGGCUAACUACGUG